rnacentral:lncRNA from 10 species
CUGAGAUCUGUGGCCGGCGGCAGCUGGUGCGGGGGGCAGCUGAGAGCGAGAGGUGGAUCGGGGCGGUGUGUGGCCAGGGCCAUGACGGGCAAUGCCGGGGAGUGGUGCCUCAUGGAAAGCGACCCCGGGGUCUUCACCGAGCUCAUUAAAGGAUUCGGUUGCCGAGGAGCCCAAGUAGAAGAAAUAUGGAGUUUAGAGCCUGAGAAUUUUGAAAAAUUAAAGCCAGUUCAUGGGUUAAUUUUUCUUUUCAAGUGGCAGCCAGGAGAAGAACCAGCAGGCUCUGUGGUUCAGGACUCCCGACUUGACACGAUAUUUUUUGCUAAGCAGUCUUUCAGGAAAGAAUGACUGAAUACCUACAAUGUGCCAGAUACUGUGGUGCUUGGAGAAUGAAAAAGUGCCAUGAUUCCUGCCCUCAAAUAUGCUUAGAGUUUCGUGGAAGCAAUUGAUAUUAAUCAAUUAAAUGUUAAAUUACAAUGAU